GUGCUCACUUAGCACGCAUGCUAACAUUGGAGCAAUACAGAGAUUUGCAUGGCCCCUGCGCCAGGAUGACAUACAAAUUCUUGAAAAAACACACUUCGGA
rnacentral:snRNA from 1 species